rnacentral:rRNA from 1 species
UGUUUCAACCAUAUCACCCUGCAGCCCGAGACUGGUCACCUACUGAAGCUAAUCAGGGUUGAUCCUGGUCAGUACCUGGAUGGGAAACCUCCUGGGAAAACUUUAAAAAAUAGAAAGUUGAGAAAA